ACUAACAUGCUCUGCAAAGGGAUGGGAUCCGAAGCCCCUUUGAGGGAUAAUAGAGGCUCUCCCAUUCAACUCCUAUUCCGACACGUCCUUGUCGUGCAACUACUCGGGCGGAAGGUGGCACAUGGCAAAUCGGAAAGGG
rnacentral:ribozyme from 1 species